GUGCGCAUUUUGGCAGCACAUAUACUAAAAUUGGAACCAUACACAGAAGACUAGCAUGGCCCCUUGCAAAGAUGACAUGCAAAUUUAUGAGUGUUACAUAUAUAUU